rnacentral:lncRNA from 1 species
UGCUGUUGCUGAGGAACAUCCAAAUCUGUCCUCAGACGAGACGAGUUCGGGUGACCUCGUUCGUCUCUAAAACUUAUACCCUCGUCUACUGGUACUUUAUGGUCACCUGCAUCUGAUGAACAAAGACAGCGCUCUGGAACUUAAGAAUGAAAAAUCUCACUAAGGUAAGCCACAACAAUGUCAUAUACUGCCUUACAAGCCAAGCGUGAGAUUUUAUAAUUUAUUGUAAACUUAACCAGAAG